GAUGACACCUGUGGCUCGGCCCCCACGAUCAGUUCAGCCGCGACCGUCCACGCGCCGUCUUUAUUGUACGUUUACACGCGACUUAUGUACGAGAAUACAUAUAUGUAUAUUUAAACUACAUACACGUAUAUAUAUAUGUGUAUAUAUACACACAAAAUCAUACGCAUAUAGAAAUACGGUAGUAUAUAAAACAUAUGUAUGAAGAAGGAAACGAAAUGGAGUACUGAUAUUCGAGGGACAUAUUAAAAAAAAGAAAACAGAUGUAUGCAACAACAUCGUGCGUCAGCAGAUCUUCUAGAAAAUCGUUCGGCUACGCUUCUUCUUCUUCUUUUCUGUUAUCCCCUCACUGACGAUACGACACACGCUUCAAGAGUUUAUUAGUCUUUAACGUCCGCGGAGCGAGAACGGUGCCACCAACGUGAACGGAGUAUUGGGAUCUACGAAGCGGCAAUCCGGUGAUUACCUCGUUCCAGAAAAGAACAAAAUAAUUUGGUUUUAAAUCGUGAAAGUGAUCGAGCAUCUAGAACGGACCUUGUGGUAUGUAUAAGAAAUAAAUAAAGAAGAAGAAAGAAGAAAAAAGAAGAAGAAGACUUCUACAUAUAUCUUCCUCGUACGCCGAAAGUUGUUCCGUUUCUAAGUGAUUGCUAUAACUUGAAUUAAGUGAGCGUGUUGGUGAACGAUUACUCUAAACGAGUUAACUGCUCUUUCUUUUUCCGUUCCUAUCCACGAUGUUCGAUGACAAUAAUUAAACGUUACAAAAACAACAACAAAAUCAUGAUAGACGUAACAGCUAACAGUAGUAGUGUAUACGUGACGUCAGAGACAAGAAAAAUAUAAAUAAUCGUCGGUGUUUAAAAAGUGGCAGUGUUUAACAACUGGCAGCAAGAGAAGUUGGACGAAUAAUCGAAUAGUUCGAGGAGGAAGGGAAAACAAAAUCAUUCGAAAGGGAUCGUUUGAUUUGUUUCCGUGAUAAGUUGACCCCCCUACCCUUUCCUCGGGCCCCUCGGGCCCCUCGUCCCCCAACGGUCGUGACUUUGGACGAGGACGAAGCGGACGAAAAGCAUCGUCGUCUGUCUUUUAGGACAUACGCGGCUCGUUUCGAUUAAUUUGGCGACGAUGCGUCGUCGCGGAUACGUUCGAACGUCCUCCUCCUCCUCCUCCUCCUCAUUGUCGUCGUCGUCGUCGUCGUCGUUGUGGUCGUCGUCGUCGUUGCUGCUGCUGUUGUUGCUGCUGCGGUGAAUGGAAAGCUAGGCUAACGGAUCACGCGACACAGUGAUGCAGUGCCGUAGUGUCAGUGCCGAGUGCCACGUGCCCGUUCCUUGGAUUACUUGAAAAUGACUUCGUCCGGCGGAUAUUAUGACGACAGGAAUCCUUUGCUCAAGGGCACCUUAUCGAGGUAACUGGAGCAUACUUUUAUCGAUCGUGUUACCAAACGUUCAAAUGUAAUGGAUUUCAAUUCGUAAAAAGAAGAAGAAGAAAAAGGUCCACAGAAUUGCAUAAUUUUGCUUAUUUUUUUGUUCAAUGUCAAGGUAACUGGAGCAUACUUUUAUCGAUCGUGUUACCAAACGUUCAAAUGUAAUGGAUUUCAAUUCGUAAAAAGUAGAAGAAGUAGAAGAAGAAAAAGGUCCACAGAAUUGGAUAAUUUUGCUUAUUUUUUUGUUCAAUGUCAAGGUAACUGGAGCAUACUUUUAUCGAUCGUGUUACCAAACGUUCAAAUGUAAUGGAUUUCAAUUCGUAAGAAGUAGAAGAAGAAGUAGAAAAAGGUCCACAGAAUUGCAUAAUUUUGCUUAAUUUUUUGUUCAAUGUCAAGGUAACUGGAGCAUACUUUUAUCGAUCGUGUUACCAAACGUUCGAAUGUAAUGGAUUUCAAUUCGUAAGAAGAAGAAG
rnacentral:lncRNA from 1 species